rnacentral:rRNA from 1 species
CGUGCCAGCAGCCGCGGUGAUACGUAGGGUGCGAGCGUUGUCCGGAUUUAUUGGGCGUAAAGGGCUCGUAGGUGGUUGAUCGCGUCGGAAGUGUAAUCUUGGGGCUUAACCCUGAGCGUGCUUUCGAUACGGGUUGACUUGAGGAAGGUAGGGGAGAAUGGAAUUCCUGGUGGAGCGGUGGAAUGCGCAGAUAUCAGGAGGAACACCAGUGGCGAAGGCGGUUCUCUGGGCCUUUCCUGACGCUGAGGAGCGAAAGCGUGGGGAGCGAACAGGCUUAGAUACCCUGGUAGUCCACGCUGUAAACGGUGGGUACUAGGUGUGGGGUCCAUUCCACGGGUUCCGCGCCGUAGCUAACGCUUUAAGUACCCCGCCUGGGGAGUACGGCCGCAAGGCUAAAACUCAAAGGAAUUGACGGGGCCCCGCACAAGCGGCGGAGCAUGCGGAUUAAUUCGAUGCAACGCGUAGAACCUUACCUGGGUUUGACAUGGAUCGGGAGUGCUCAGAGAUGGGUGUGCCUCUUUUGGGGUCGGUUCACAGGUGGUGCAUGGCUGUCGUCAGCUCGUGUCGUGAGAUGUUGGGUUAAGUCCCGCAACGAGCGCAACCCUUGUUCACUGUUGCCAGCACGUUAUGGUGGGGACUCAGUGGAGACCGCCGGGGUCAACUCGGAGGAAGGUGGGGAUGACGUCAAGUCAUCAUGCCCCUUAUGUCCAGGGCUUCACGCAUGCUACAAUGGCUGGUACAGAGAGUGGCGAGCCUGUGAGGGUGAGCGAAUCUCGGAAAGCCGGUCUCAGUUCGGAUUGGGGUCUGCAACUCGACCUCAUGAAGUUGGAGUCGCUAGUAAUCGCAGAUCAGCAACGCUGCGGUGAAUACGUUCCCGGGGCUUGUACACACCGCCCGUCAAGUCAUGAAAGUUGGUAACACCCGAAGCCGGUGGCCUAACC